ACUGAUGUUGUGAUGAUUUCACAAAUAUAGCAUAGUUCAUCUGAUUUAAAAUGAUGACAACUGCACCUUUUUAGUCUUUCGCUCCCAUCUGACACAUCAUC
rnacentral:snoRNA from 1 species